rnacentral:rRNA from 1 species
UCCUCCCUCUUUCUUCGUGCUUAACACAUGCAAGUCGAACGGAAAGGCCCUGCUUUUGUGGGGUGCUCGAGUGGCGAACGGGUGAGUAACACGUGAGUAACCUGCCCUUGACUUUGGGAUAACUUCAGGAAACUGGGGCUAAUACCGGAUAGGAGCUCCUGCUGCAUGGUGGGGGGUGGAAAGUUUGGCCGGUUGGGGAUGGACUCGCGGCUUAUCAGCUUGUUGGUGGGGUAGUGGCUUACCAAGGCUUUGCCGGGUAGCCGGCCUGAGAGGGUGACCGGCCACAUUGGGACUGAGAUACGGCCCAGACUCCUACGGGAGGCAGCAGUGGGGAAUAUUGCACAAUGGGCGGAAGCCUGAUGCAGCAACGCCGCGUGCGGGAUGACGGCCUUCGGGUUGUAAACCGCUUUCGCCUGUGACGAAGCGUGAGUGACGGUAAUGGGUAAAGAAGCACCGGCUAACUACGUG